rnacentral:tmRNA from 1 species
GGGGCUGAUUCUGGAUUCGACGGGAUUUGCGAAACCCAAGGUGCAUGCCGAGGGGCGGUUGGCCUCGUAAAAAGCCGCAAAAAAAUAGUCGCAAACGACGAAACCUACGCUUUAGCAGCUUAAUAACCUGCUUAGAGCCCUCUCUCCCUAGCCUCCGCUCUUAGGACGGGGAUCAAGAGAGGUCAAACCCAAAAGAGAUCGCGCGGAUGCCCUGCCUGGGGUUGAAGCGUUAAAACGAAUCAGGCUAGUCUGGUAGUGGCGUGUCCGUCCGCAGGUGCCAGGCGAAUGUAAAGACUGACUAAGCAUGUAGUACCGAGGAUGGAGGAAUUUCGGACGCGGGUUCAACUCCCGCCAGCUCCACCA